rnacentral:tRNA from 1 species
GCUGUUGUAGCUCAGUUGGUAGAGCACCUCACUUGUAAUGAGGCGGUCGGUGGUUCAAAUCCUCUCAACAGCUCCA